rnacentral:lncRNA from 1 species
UAGAAAUUUUCUUUUUAUUUCUUUCUCUAUAUUAUUAUUAUUUUUUCUUUCUCUUUCCUUUUUUCCAUCUCCCCAGCAGGUAUAACUAUAGAGAAUGUUGAGUAGAGUUGUUUGGCUUUGCUUCUAUAGCUGUAUGCACUUCUGAUGGCAACUUUUAUACUGGGCUGUGCGCUUCAAACUCUAAGCCUGUAGAUGGCACUUAUAGGUAUGAGCUGGUUGCAGCCAAUUUGGGGAUAUACUUGACCUUUGUUUACUGGGAGAAGCUCCCUGUUGCUUCAGGUAAAUGGGCUGAUCCAUGGAGUGCACAGUGGUCUGAGCUUCCUGUUUAGCCCCUGGUGAGUGGGGGACAUGAUGGAUGGAGCUGGACCAGGCGAGUCUGCCUACAGGCUCCAGGGACAAGCACAAGUGCUGAGGGAGAAUCCAGUGAGCAGCCAUCAAGUACCUAGAGGUGCACCUAGGCAUGGAGCUGGGAAACCUCUUUAGCCCCAAGUUCACUGCACAGGGAUGGGGGAUGGCCUAAACUCCUUAUCCAGGAGAGGGGGCACUCCAGGUGCCUGGAGAUCUGCCUGGGUGUGGAGUGAAGAGGUCCCUGCUUCACCAGGAUCUCUAUAUAGGAAGAAUGGCAUAGGUCAGAAUGCCAAUCCAGGUGAGUGGGUACUUUGAAUACCUGGAGAUCUGCCUAUUGUGGAGCAGAGAAAGCCCCGUUUCACCACAAUCUAUACUCAGGAAGGUUGAGGUGGCUCAAGCUGCUGAACUAAGCAAAUGGGUCCUCCAAAUGCCUGGAGAUCUGCCUGGGCAUGGAGCAGAAAAGGCCCCACUAUAUCUUGAUCUAUGUCUAUGAAGGGUGGGGCAGCUCAGGCUGCUGGUCCAGGCAAACAGGUACUCCAAAUGCCUGGAUUUCUGCCUGUGGCUAGAGUGGAUAGGGCCCCACUGCACCAUGAUCUCAGGGGAACAGGAUGGAGCACCCAGAAAUGGCGUGCACAGACUGGUUCCAAGUCACUAAGCUGACCCUGGCUGCAAGUCUUGCUGCUCAGGAGAAACUGCAGUGGUAGCAGCUCCCAUCCCAUCCUAGUCUUGCAAUGGGGAAUAACAAAAUUCCAGUGCCUACUGCUGAGGUACUUUUCAUAGUUCUAGCUCUGGAGACCCCUAUGCCACUCUAGAGCAGGCACUCCAGUCUCUGACCUGAGACUAAAAUGCCUGCAUGGCUACACUGCCAGGUUGCUAAAGAAUGGCUGACUUUAUGUCCCUGGGUUAAAACACAUCCUGCUUUUGGUCCCAGGUCUGGGAAAAUGCCUGUAGUGUUCCCCAGUGUCUUUUUUCUCAUAGCAUCUCCAAGCUCCUCCCCAGGUUGGCUGCAAGGCUUAGGAUAAACAAGGUGUCCUCCCUUGGCCUGGGUUGCUCGGAUCCCCAGUGGAAAGGUAAGUAACAGAGGGAGGCUGUCUGCCUGUCUCACAUACUGGGGUUUCACUCACUUUUCUCAGCCAGAUGCUUUCAUGGGGUCCGUUUGCCCACAUUUUCCUCUCUGGGAUCUGAGGUGUCCUUCAUGAUUCUGGUGAAUCCCCAUUUUCCUUCUUGAAUUAAUGCCACAGAGUUGAUCUUUAUGCACUAUCUUGCUAUUUCCAAGUGACUGAGGCAUGCUAAAAGGGUGUAAUCCACCAUCUUGUGAAAAAAAGCGUGGUAAUCUUAUUGUGGGUCUUGGGUGAAGAAUUGUUUUUUUCUUGCUACAUUUAGAGUUUUCUCUUUAUCCUUUGUUUGAUUUUGAUGUGCCUAGGUGUGGAUCUGUUUCAGUUUAUCCUACUUAGAGAUUGUUGAGCUUCUUGGAUGUUGAGCUUCUUGGACAUGAAGAUUAAUGUUUUUCAUCAAAUGUAAGUUUUCAGUCAUUAUUCACAUUUUUUUCUGCUCCUUUGCCUUUUUUCUCUAAGUAUGUCACCUUUGUGUAGCAGAAAAAGAAAAGGCAUACAUGACUGGAUUAGGGGCCUCAUCACAUGUCAGGGGCCAGCUCUGCAAGUCUUGUACUUUGGAAAAAGAACCAACUAGCCUGUUCAGCGAUACAAAUGUCAGAAAGUUGAGAAUGCCUGGAUUUCAAAUAUCCUAAUAGACUAUAGAGGAGAUAUGUUUGGUGAAGGAAAUCCUUUCCGGAAUCCUCCAAGUCAUAAUGUAAAUGGUUGCCUACUAAUUCUCAGCCCUUAAAUCUAGUCCUAGUAAGCCCUGAUAAACUGACUCAUACAAGAUGGGAAUGCCUACCAUGAAAUGCUGAGAUGGGAUAUGACAGUGACAACAAAGGCUGCUGCUGUAAUGUGAUCUCUCCAGAUGGGUUCUUUCAUCUUAGGUAAAAAGGUAUUGGUUUUGAAAAUGCUCCCAAGGAAAGCUGCAUACAAAUAUCCAUCUCAGAGUCUAAUUCCAAGGAACCCAGUCCAGAUGGCUGCCUUCCAGAGUCUGGGUUCUCUGCCACUGUUUGAUAUUGGUCAGUCCCUGGACUGUGAGCUCCCUGAGGACACACAGUGCUACAUCAAGUUACUUGGAGCCCUAGGACAACUUCCAUCUCAAGUGAUCCUCUUCCAUAUCAGGGAAUCAUCAAAUGCUUGCUGAAUAAAUUGCCACCCUCUUUGGACUUUGAAAAACGAAGUAUCCUUUUCUCAAAAAUAUGUAGGAGAAUAACAUUUAUACCCUGUAUUAGUUUUUUAGAGCUGCCAUAACAAAAUGCC